UACGAGGGGGGCAAGCGUUGUUCGGAAUUAUUGGGCGUAAAGGGCGCGUAGGCGGUGCGGUAAGUCUGAUGUGAAAUCUCCGGGCUCAACUCGGAGUCUGCAUCAGAAACUGCCGUGCUCGAGUGUGGGAGAGGAUAGUGGAAUUCCCAGUGUAGAGGUGAAAUUCGUAGAUAUUGGGAAGAACACCGGUGGCGAAGGCGGCUAUCUGGACCGUAACUGACGCUGAGGCGCGAAAGCGUGGGGAGCAAACAGG
rnacentral:rRNA from 1 species